rnacentral:rRNA from 1 species
GACGAACGCUGGCGGCGUGCUUAACACAUGCAAGUCGAACGGAAAGGCCCUGCUUUUGUGGGGUGCUCGAGUGGCGAACGGGUGAGUAACACGUGAGUAACCUGCCCUUGACUUUGGGAUAACUUCAGGAAACUGGGGCUAAUACCGGAUAGGAGCUCCUGCUGCAUGGUGGGGGUUGGAAAGUUUCGGCGGUUGGGGAUGGACUCGCGGCUUAUCAGCUUGUUGGUGGGGUAGUGGCUUACCAAGGCUUUGACGGGUAGCCGGCCUGAGAGGGUGACCGGCCACAUUGGGACUGAGAUACGGCCCGGACUCCUGCGGGAGGCAGCAGUGAGGAAUAUUGCACAAUGGGCGGAAGCCUGAUGCAGCAACGCCGCGUGCGGGAUGACGGCCUUCGGGUUGUAAACCGCUUUCGCCUGUGACGAAGCGUGAGUGACGGUAAUGGGUAAAGAAGCACCGGCUAGCUACGUG